UGUAAACAUCCUACACUCAGCUGUGAGUGAACAGUGAAGGCUGGGGGAAGGGUGUUUACU
rnacentral:pre_miRNA from 22 species